AGUGAACGCUGGCGGCGUGCCUAAUACAUGCAAGUCGAACGAAGUGGCGCACGGGUGAGUAAUAUAUAGUUAAUCUGCCCUACACAGGAGAACAACAGCUGGAAACGGCUGCUAAUACCUCAUAGUGUAGUAUGAGACUCUAUCGUAUCAGCUAGUUGGUAAGGUAAUGGCUUACCAAGGCUAUGACGCGUAACUGGUCUGAGAGGAUGAGCAGCAACAUUGGAACUGAGGCACCGUCCAAACACCGACGGGAAGGAGCAGUAAGGUAUAUUGCGCAAUGGGCGAAACCCUGACGCAGCAACGCCGCGUGGAGGAUUAUACUUUUCGGAGCGGAAACUCCUUUUAUCAGGAAAGCGGUACCUGAUGAAUAAGCACCGGCUAACUCCGUGCCAGCAGCCGCGGUAAUAC
rnacentral:rRNA from 1 species